CCUACGGGUGGCAGCAGUCGAGAAUCAUUCACAAUGGGGGAAACCCUGAUGGUGCGACGCCGCGUGGGGGAAUGAAGGUCUUCGGAUUGUAAACCCCUGUCAUGUGGGAGCAAAUUAAAAAGAUAGUACCACAAGAGGAAGAGACGGCUAACUCUGUGCCAGCAGCCGCGGUAAUACAGAGGUCUCAAGCGUUGUUCGGAAUCACUGGGCGGAAAGCGUGCGUAGGCUGUUUCGUAACUCGUGUGUGAAAGGCGCGGGCUCAACCCGCGGACGGCACAUGACACUGCGAAACUAGAGUAAUGGAGGGGGAACCGGAAUUCUCGGUGUAGGAGUGAGAUGCGUAGAUAUCGAGAGGAACACUCGUGGCGAAGGCGGGUUCCUGGACAUUAACUGACGCUGAGGCACGAAGGCCAAGGGAGCGAAAGGGAUUAGAUACCCCUGUAGUC
rnacentral:rRNA from 1 species